CGCGUAGGUGGUUCAGUAAGUUGGAAGUGAAAUCCCCGGGCUCAACCUGGGAACUGCUUUCAAAACUGCUGAGCUAGAGUACGGUAGAGGGUAGUGGAAUUUCCUGUGUAGCGGUGAAAUGCGUAGAUAUAGGAAGGAACACCAGUGGCGAAGGCGACUACCUGGACUGAUACUGACACUGAGGUGCGAAAGCGUGGGGAGCAAACAGGAUUAGAUACCCCCGUA
rnacentral:rRNA from 1 species